rnacentral:rRNA from 1 species
AUGUCCAACAUCAACCGGUCGCAUCCGGCUCUCCCGAUGGCGACCUUCCAGCCCAAGGGACAAGGCCAAUGCGUGCUAACUCUGUGUCGAUCGUGUGGGUACGUGUUGCUCUCCUCAGGUUUUGCGCCGACGCCGGCGCCGUCGCCAUUGGAGCAAUGGACGAAGCGGUUCCAGGAGGCCGAGAGGCUGGUGGACGAGGUGAUGGGGAACAUCGCCGAGAGGGCGUCCGUCCCGGCGUCGCUGCCGCUAGAGCUGAAGCGCCGGACCGGCGAGAUCCGGCGGAAGGUGGCCAUCCUCGAGACCCGGCUGAGCCUCAUGAGGGAGGACCUCGACCGACUCCCCAACAGGCAUCUACUCAUAUUAUUACUCCUCCUACUAUAG